ACCUCCUGUCCAGUAGACUAUAACCCUCCUCUAACCUCCUGUCCAGUGGACUAUAACCCUCCUCUAACCUCCUGUCCAGUGUAUGUAUGAAAACUAAAAGCAGUGUGGUUCGGCGUUAAGGCUCGGUGUUGGGGUUAGCAGUGUGGUUAAUGUUAGGCGUUAAGGUUCGGCAUUAGGGUUAGCAAUGUGGUUAAGGUUCGGCAUUAGGGUUAGCAAUGUGGUUAAGGUUCGGCAUUAGGGUUAGCAAUGUGGUUAAGGUUCGGCAUUAGGGUUAGCAAUGUGGUUAAGGUUCGGCAUUAGGGUUAGCAAUGUGGUUAAGGUUCGGCAUUAGGGUUAGCAAUGUGGUUAAGGUUCGGCAUUAGGGUUAGCAAUGUGGUUAAGGUUCGGCAUUAGGGUUAGCAAUGUGGUUAAGGUUCGGCAUUAGGGUUAGCAAUGUGGUUAAGGUUCGGCAUUAGGGUUAGCAAUGUGGUUAAGGUUCGGCGUUAGGGUUAGCAGUGUGGUUAAGGUUCGGCGUUAGGGUUAGCAGUGUGGUUAAUGUUAGGCGUUUGGGUUAGCAUUGUGGUUAAGGUUAGGCGUUUGGGUUAGCAGUGUGGUUAAGGUUAGCAGUGUGGUUAAGGUUAGUUAUUAUGGUUAGCAGCGUGGUUAAGGUUUGGCGUAAGGGUUAGCAGUGUGGUUAGGGUUCGUUAUUAGGGUUAGCAGUGUGGUUAAGGUUAGUUAUUAGUGUUAGCAGUGUGGUUAAGGUUAGUUAUUAGGGUUAGCAGUGCGGUUAAGGUUAGUUAUUAGGGUUAGCAGUGUGGUUAAGGUUAGUUAUUAGGGUUAGCAGUGUGGUUAAGGUUAGUUAUUAGGGUUAGCAGUGUGGUUAAGGUUAGUUAUUAGGGUUAGCAGUGUGGUUAAGGUUAGUUAUUAGGGUUAGCAGUGUGGUUAAGGUUAGUUAUUAGGGUUAGCAGUGUGGUUAAGGUUAGUUAUUAGGGUUAGCAGUGUGGUUAAGGUUAGGCGUAAGGGUUAGCAGUGUGGUUAAUGUUAGUUAUUAGGGUUAGCAGUGUGGUUAAGGUUAGUUAUUAGGGUUAGCAGUGUGGUUAAGGUUAGUUAUUAGGGUUAGCAGUGUGGUUAAGGUUAGUUAUUAGGGUUAGCAGUGUGGUUAAGGUUAGUUAUUAGGGUUAGCAGUGUGGUUAAGGUUAGUUAUUAGGGUUAGCAGUGUGGUUAAGGUUAGUUAUUAGGGUUAGCAGUGUGGUUAAGGUUAGUUAUUAGGGUUAGCAGUGUGGUUAAGGUUAGUUAUUAGGGUUAGCAGUGUGGUUAAGGUUAGUUAUUAGGGUUAGCAGUGUGGUUAAGGUUAGUUAUUAGGGUUAGCAGUGUGGUUAAGGUUAGUUAUUAGGGUUAGCAGUGUGGUUAAGGUUAGUUAUUAGGGUUAGCAGUGUGGUU